rnacentral:rRNA from 1 species
AUUGAACGCUGGCGGCAGGCCUAACACAUGCAAGUCGAGCGGAUGAAGGGAGCUUGCUCCUGGAUUCAGCGGCGGACGGGUGAGUAAUGCCUAGGAAUCUGCCUGGUAGUGGGGGAUAACGUCCGGAAACGGGCGCUAAUACCGCAUACGUCCUGAGGGAGAAAGUGGGGGAUCUUCGGACCUCACGCUAUCAGAUGAGCCUAGGUCGGAUUAGCUAGUUGGUGGGGUAAAGGCCUACCAAGGCGACGAUCCGUUACUGGUCUGAGAGGAUGAUCAGUCACACUGGAACUGGGACGCGGUCCAUGCUCCUACGGUAGGCAGCAGUGGGGAAUAUUGGACAAUGGGCGGAAGCCUUGUCCAGCCAUGCCACGUGUGUGAAGAAGGUCUUCGGAUUGUAAAGCACUUUAAGUUGGGAGGAAGGGCAGUAAGUUAAUACCUUGCUGUUUUGACGUUACCAACAGAAUAAGCACCGGCUAACUUCGUG